GAUGAACGCUGGCGGCGUGCCUAAUACAUGCAAGUAGAACGCUGAAGGAGGAGCUUGCUCUUCUGGAUGAGUUGCGAACGGGUGAGUAACGCGUAGGUAACCUGCCUGGUAGCGGGGGAUAACUAUUGGAAACGAUAGCUAAUACCGCAUGACAACAGUUAUUGCAUGAUAACUGUUUAAAAGGGGCAACUGCUCCACUACCAGAUGGACCUGCGUUGUAUUAGCUAGUUGGUGAGGUAACGGCUCACCAAGGCGACGAUACAUAGCCGACCUGAGAGGGGGAUCGGCCACACUGGGACUGAGACACGGCCCAGACUCCUACGGGAGGCAGCAGUAGGGAAUCUUCGGCAAUGGACGGAAGUCUGACCGAGCAACGCCGCGUGAGUGAAGAAGGUUGUCGGAUCGUAAAGCUCUGUUGUAAGAGAAGAACGAGUGUGAGAGUGGAAAGUUCACACUGUGACGGUAUCUGACCAGAAAGGGACGGCUAACUACGUG
rnacentral:rRNA from 1 species